rnacentral:rRNA from 1 species
UACGUAGGGUGCAAGCGUUAAUCGGAAUUACUGGACGUAAAGCGUGCGCAGGCGGUGAUGUAAGACAGUUGUGAAAUCCCCGGGCUCAACCUGGGAACUGCAUCUGUGACUGCAUCGCUGGAGUGCGGCAGAGGGGGGAUGGAAUUCCGCGUGUAGCAGUGAAAUGCGUAGAUAUGCGGAGGAACACCGAUGGCGAAGGCAAUCCCCUGGGCCUGCACUGACGCUCAUGCACGAAAGCGUGGGGAGCAAACAGG